rnacentral:rRNA from 1 species
GUCGAACGCUUCUUUUUCCCCGGAGCUUGCUCCACCGGAAAAAGAGGAGUGGCGAACGGGUGAGUAACACGUGGGUAACCUGCCCAUCAGAAGGGGAUAACACUUGGAAACAGGUGCUAAUACCGUAUAACAAUCGAAACCGCAUGGUUUUGAUUUGAAAGGCGCUUUCGGGUGUCGCUGAUGGAUGGACCCGCGGUGCAUUAGCUAGUUGGUGAGGUAACGGCUCACCAAGGCGACGAUGCAUAGCCGACCUGAGAGGGUGAUCGGCCACAUUGGGACUGAGACACGGCCCAAACUCCUACGGGAGGCAGCAGUAGGGAAUCUUCGGCAAUGGACGAAAGUCUGACCGAGCAACGCCGCGUGAGUGAAGAAGGUUUUCGGAUCGUAAAACUCUGUUGUUAGAGAAGAACAAGGAUGAGAGUAACUGUUCAUCCCUUGACGGUAUCUAACCAGAAAGCCACGGCUAACUACGUGCCAGCAGCCGCGGUAAUACGUAGGUGGCAAGCGUUGUCCGGAUUUAUUGGGCGUAAAGCGAGCGCAGGCGGUUUCUUAAGUCUGAUGUGAAAGCCCCCGGCUCAACCGGGGAGGGUCAUUGGAAACUGGGAGACUUGAGUGCAGAAGAGGAGAGUGGAAUUCCAUGUGUAGCGGUGAAAUGCGUAGAUAUAUGGAGGAACACCAGUGGCGAAGGCGGCUCUCUGGUCUGUAACUGACGCUGAGGCUCGAAAGCGUGGGGAGCAAACAGGAUUAGAUACCCUGGUAGUCCACGCCGUAAACGAUGAGUGCUAAGUGUUGGAGGGUUUCCGCCCUUCAGUGCUGCAGCUAACGCAUUAAGCACUCCGCCUGGGGAGUACGACCGCAAGGUUGAAACUCAAAGGAAUUGACGGGGGCCCGCACAAGCGGUGGAGCAUGUGGUUUAAUUCGAAGCAACGCGAAGAACCUUACCAGGUCUUGACAUCCUUUGACCACUCUAGAGAUAGAGCU